rnacentral:sRNA from 1 species
GCCAGGCGCAGUGGUGCAUGCCUGUAAUCCCAGCAGCUCAGGAGGCUGAGGCAGGAAGAUUGCAAGUUCAAAGCCAGCCUCAGCAAUGGCGAGGUGCUGAACAACUCAGUGAAACCCUGUCUCUA